AUUGAACGCUGGCGGCAUGCCUUACACAUGCAAGUCGAACGGCAGCACGGGUGCUUGCACCUGGUGGCGAGUGGCGAACGGGUGAGUAAAGCAUCGGAACGUGCCCAACUGUGGGGGAUAACGCACCGAAAGGUGUGCUAAUACCGCAUAAGCCCUGAGGGGGAAAGCAGGGGAUCUUAGGACCUUGCGCAGAUGGAGCGGCCGAUGUCGGAUUAGCUAGUUGGUGAGGUAAAGGCUCACCAAGGCGACGAUCCGUAGCUGGUCUGAGAGGAUGAUCAGCCACACUGGAACUGAGAGACGGUCCAGACUCCUACGGGAGGCAGCAGUGGGGAAUUUUGGACAAUGGGGGCAACCCUGAUCCAGCCAUGCCGCGUGAGUGAAGAAGGCCUUCGGGUUGUAAAGCUCUUUCGGCCGGGAAGAAAUCGUGCAGGCUAAUACCCUGCAUGGAUGACGGUACCGGAAUAAGAAGCACCGGCUAACUACGUGCCAGCAGCCGCGGUAAUACGUAGGGUGCGAGCGUUAAUCGGAAUUACUGGGCGUAAAGCGUGCGCAGGCGGUUUUGUAAGACAGGCGUGAAAUCCCCGGGCUCAACCUGGGAAUGGCGCUUGUGACUGCAAGGCUAGAGUACGGCAGAGGGGGGUAGAAUUCCACGUGUAGCAGUGAAAUGCGUAGAGAUGUGGAGGAAUACCGAUGGCGAAGGCAGCCCCCUGGGUCGAUACUGACGCUCAUGCACGAAAGCGUGGGGAGCAAACAGGAUUAGAUACCCUGGUAGUCCACGCCCUAAACGAUGUCAACUAGGUGUUGGUAGGGUAAAACCUAUUAGUACCGUAGCUAACGCGUGAAGUUGACCGCCUGGGGAGUACGGCCGCAAGGUUAA
rnacentral:rRNA from 1 species